rnacentral:misc_RNA from 1 species
GAUGAAGAACGCAGCGAAAUGCGAUAAGUAGUGUGAAUUGCAGAAUUCAGUGAAUCAUCGAAUCUUUGAACGCACAUUGCGCCCCUUGGUAUUCCAUGGGGCAUGCCUGUUCGAGCGUCAUUUGUACCUUCAAGCUUUGCUUGGUGUUGGGUGUUUGUCUCGCCUUUGCGUGUAGACUCGCCUUAAAAUAAUUGGCAGCCGACGUAUUGAUUUCGGAGCGCAGUACAUCUCGCGCUUUGCACUCAUAACGACAGCGUCCAAAAGUACAUUUUACACUCUUGACCUCGGAUCAGGUAGGGAUACCCGCUGAACUUAAGCAUAUCAAUAAGCGGAGGA